rnacentral:rRNA from 1 species
GUGAGGAAUAUUGCGCAAUGGAGGCAACUCUGACGCAGCCAUGCCGCGUGCAGGAAGAAGGCGCCACGCGUUGUAAACUGCUUUUAACCGGGAAGAAACCCCAGGACGUGUCCUGGGUUGACGGUACCGGAGGAAUAAGCACCGGCUAACUUCGUGCCAGCAGCCGCGGUAAUACGAAGGGUGCAAGCGUUAUCCGGAUUCAUUGGGUUUAAAGGGUGCGUAGGCGGAGCGUUAAGUCAGUGGUGAAAUCCUGCAGCUUAACUGUAGACUUGCCAUUGAUACUGGCGCUCUUGAGUGCGCUUGAAGUGGGCGGAAUGUGCCGUGUAGCGGUGAAAUGCUUAGAUAUGGCACAGAACACCAAUUGCGAAGGCAGCUCACUAAGGCGAUACUGACGCUGAGGCACGAAAGCGUGGGGAUCGAACAGGAUUAGAUACCCCUGUAGUCC